rnacentral:miRNA from 1 species
CAGGCCCUCCCUCCCAGACCCUCCCACCUCCUGGACAGCUCACUAAGAAUGCAGCUUCAAAAUGGAUGCUGUCCAGGAGGUGGGAGGGUCUGGGAGGGAGGGCCUG